UACGUAGGGUGCAAGCGUUGUCCGGAAUUAUUGGGCGUAAAGAGCUCGUAGGCGGUUUGUCGCGUCUGCUGUGAAAACUCGGGGCUUAACCCCGGGCCUGCAGUGGGUACGGGCAGACUAGAGUGCGGUAGGGGAGACUGGAAUUCCUGGUGUAGCGGUGAAAUGCGCAGAUAUCAGGAGGAACACCGGUGGCGAAGGCGGGUCUCUGGGCCGUAACUGACGCGGAGGAGCGAAAGCAUGGGGAGCGAACAGG
rnacentral:rRNA from 1 species